ACGUGCCAGCAGCCGCGGUAAUACGAGGGUGCGAGCGUUAAUCGGAAUUACUGGGCGUAAAGCGUGCGCAGGCGGUUCUCCAAGUCCGUUGUGAAAGCCCCGGGCUCAACUGGGAAUGGCAGUGGAAACUAGGGGACUUGAAUCUGGCAGAGGGGGGUGGAAUUCCACGUGUAGCAGUGAAAUGCGUAGAGAUGUGGAGGAACACCGAUGGCGAAGGCAGCCCCCUGGGCUGAGAUUGACGCUCAGGCACGAAAGCGUGGGGAGCAAACAGGAUUAGAUACCCUGGUCCACGCAACGAUGUCAACUAGGUGUUGGGGAAGCGAUUUCUCAGUACCGCAGCUAACGCGUGAAGUUGACCGCCUGGGGAGUACGGUCGCAAGAUUAAAACUCAAAGGAAUUGACGGGGACCCGCACAAGCGGUGGAUGAUGUGGAUUAAUUCGAUGCAACGCGAAUCUUACCUACCCUUGACAUGUACGGACUCCAGAGAUGGGGGUGUGCCCGGAAGGGAUCCGUAAC
rnacentral:rRNA from 1 species